rnacentral:lncRNA from 1 species
CAACCCUCACUUCUCCAAUCCCACUCUCUCCCCGGGAGAGUAACAGGCUGACUCAGUGGUUUGCCUCAGUUGGCAAGGCGGGCCCAGUGAGCAGGUCAAAGGAGAAGACGAAAGUGUUCUGAGACAAGCAGUGAGGAGCCAACUUUGGAGGAACAAGUCUUCAGUGAGAUGAAUCAGUAACUGCUUGAGUCAGACACUGCACCAGACUUAAUGCCUUUCUGCAAAGAAGAUGAACUAGGAUUAGAAGAAAUCAGAUGUGUGUACUUGCUCCCAGGAAGCCCCUCCAGGUUCCUGUUUCUCUCCAUUCUCAGACGGUGACUCUAUUGGGCUCCAGCAAUGGAGGCUACAACUGCCCGGUCCACCUGGAGAGCGG